GCGACCCCAGGAUGGGCGAGGCCACCCGCCGAGUUUAAGCAUAUCAAUAAGCGGAGG
rnacentral:rRNA from 33 species